rnacentral:rRNA from 1 species
GACAGAGGUGCCAAGCGUUAGGCGGAAUCACUGGGCUUAAAGGCGUGUGUAGGCGGACUUUUAAGUGCCUUGUGAAAUCCCACUGGCUCAAACCGUGGGAAUGGCUGGGCAUACUGGGAGUCUUGAGCCACCUAGGGGUCGCUGGAACAAACGGUGGAGCGGUGAAAUGCGUAGAUAGUCGUUGGAACGCCAAAGGUGAAACAGGCGACUGGGGGUGUGCUGACGCUGAGACGACGAAGCCAGGGAGCAAACGGG